UACGUAGGGAGCAAGCGUUAUCCGGAUUUACUGGGUGUAAAGGGCGCGUAGGCGGGAUGGCAAGUCAGAUGUGAAAUCCAGGGGCUCAACCCCUGAACUGCAUUUGAAACUGUCGCUCUUGAGUACUGGAGAGGUUGACGGAAUUCCUAGUGUAGCGGUGAAAUGCGUAGAUAUUAGGAGGAACACCAGUGGCGAAGGCGGUCAACUGGACAGCAACUGACGCUGAGGCGCGAAAGCGUGGGGAGCAAACAGG
rnacentral:rRNA from 1 species